AGGCUGGUGGUCUGGUGGGGAGCAGUCUUUUUCCACCAGGGGGAGCCAUGAGGUCGCGGUUUGGUGGAGGGCGGCUCCUGCGCACCUGUGCGUAAUGGGCACAAUCAUCACCCGCAUAAGAGGAGCGGACGACGGGUUCUCCAGCGCCAGAGUGUUAUACCAGUAAUGGUGCAUCUUUGUGACGCUGGGUAGUCGGCUUAUGAGAACCCGGUUCUGGCCUUGGAUAUCCUCCUUCGUGACGCCGGUACUCCCCUGUCCGCCCUCCACAUCUCUCCCUUCGCUAAAACCACCUCCCCCGGCGGACAAACCUCACCUCACCCACACUUAGACGAUCCUGAUCCAGCUCCUUCCAGAAGACGUUUCCCCGCCCAAAAAGACUCAUCUGUUUUCUUUGAGAAGAAAAACAAUAAACUUACUUUAUCUGAUUCA